AUGGGCGCAAGCCUGAUGCAGCGACGCCGCGUGAGGGAUGACGGCCUUCGGGUUGUAAACCUCUGUUAGCAUCGAAGAAGCGAAAGUGACGGUAGGUGCAGAGAAAGCGCCGGCUAACUACGUGCCAGCAGCCGCGGUAAUACGUAGGGCGCGAGCGUUGUCCGGAAUUAUUGGGCGUAAAGAGCUUGUAGGCGGUUGGUCGCGUCUGCUGUGAAAGGCUGGGGCUUAACCCUGGUUUUGCAGUGGGUACGGGCUAACUAGAGUGCAGUAGGGGAGACUGGAAUUCCUGGUGUAGCGGUGGAAUGCGCAGAUAUCAGGAGGAACACCGAUGGCGAAGGCAGGUCUCUGGGCUGUAACUGACGCUGAGAAGCGAAAGCAUGGGGAGCGAACAGGAUUAGAUACCCUGGUAGUCCAUGCCGUAAACGUUGGGCACUAGGUGUGGGGGACAUUCCACGUUUUCCGCGCCGUAGCUAACGCAUUAAGUGCCCCGCCUGGGGAGUACGGCCGCAAGGCUAAAACUCAAAGAAAUUGACGGGGGCCCGCACAAGCGGCGGAGCAUGCGGAUUAAUUCGAUGCAACGCGAAGAACCU
rnacentral:rRNA from 1 species